rnacentral:tRNA from 1 species
GGGUCGUUAGAUCAGCUGGUAGAGCAGCGGACUCUUAAUCCGUUGGUCGCGGGUUCGAUCCCCUCACGACCCACCA